UAUCUCUGGGUAGAGUUUCGAAAAUUGUAUGAUUAAAAUAAGAGUCAAUGCGGUGUCAUCUUACUUCGUUUCUCGCGAUAAGUCGUCAUUGCUGUGAACCUUGAUUGUCAUUAUUGAUAUUGCCUGGAAUCACUGAGGUUGCUGCCGCGAGUUAGGAAUAGAAAGAGGACUCUUGACGCGUUAACUUUAAAGGGGUCAACUUUGAGGUAGGGGCUUUUCUAAAAAGCUAUUUUUU